ACAGCCAUAUCAUUUUGAAACACCGGUUCUCGUACGAUCAUCAAAGUUAAGCAACUUUGAGCCUGCUCAGUACCUUGAUGGGUGACCGCUUGAGAAUAUCAGGUGCUAUA